CUUGAAAUAAAAGUUUAGCUACCAUCAAUGAAGUUGAAUAUGAUUGAUGUAUACAACUCGUGUUGACAGACUAACCAAAAGACAUUAAUAAAUUAAUGAAUUCCACUACAAAUAGACCAAAUCAACCAAUACAUCGUUCGACCCAAAAAAGAAGAAGAAAAAACAAUACAUUGUAAGACCUAUGGCAACAAAUACGUACAAUUGUAAUUAUGUGCUCAUCCUAGAGCACAUGAGUCUAACAUGAGAAACCCUAGAUGCAUUUAUUUGGAUAUAUGCAUGGGGUUGCAUUUGUAUCCUGCAUAUGUGCUUCUGUGUAUCAUCAAACUGUCUCGGCAUUGCUCUCCGAGGUAGUGCUGGUCGUUGAGGUGGAACUGGUUGAAGAAUACCCGACUCCGUUGCGCGUGCUUGGGAACAACGUGAACAGC
rnacentral:lncRNA from 1 species